CCUCACAGGUGAAUACCAGAUGUCUGAAUCAGAUACUCACAAUAAUCUCCUGGAAAAUACAUAGUUUUGUGAUGAAGAACACCCUCAUUGUUUUAAUGAAAUACUCCCAGGAAUUCAAUACCUGAGAGACUCUUGUGUCUAUCAUCUCACUUGGUAGUAUGGGGCAUGCCACAGUAACUUUUAAUCAUAUAUGUUCUCACAUGUACUGAAGCUCCUUUACCUUACUUCAGUUCUACAAACCCGGUGAUGUUGUCCUGGCUUAUCCCAGCUUCUAUUCUGGAACUUAACAAGGAUGAAUGAAUGUGUGGGGAAAGACCAGAAUAAGGAGAUUGGUCUCAUCACAGAACUUCACCAUGAACUUGGCUUGGAACCAUGCACAGUUGCUUUCUUUCCUCCUUUCCAAAUGUUUGAGUGAUUGGAGUUGUCCUGCUGGAUGGGUAAGUAUAUUCUUGCCCCAACUCUCAGUUUUUCCCUUUGACUUGAUUCAAGCAGGGUACGUAUGUAAGGAGAGAUUGCUUCAGAGCUGAAGUUUGUUGGUCAAAAAGUUAAACAGAACCAGAGGAUGUGGAACUAGGAUGUGCCCCCAAAGGAAGGACAUAUUCUCCCUUACCGAAUUGAAUCCCAUAUGCACAGGGUGUCAUGUUCAGUUUUUACCUUAUCAAAUGGAAAUUCUUGUUCCCUGUCUGCCUGCUGUCUGGUUUGUAUGUAUUACUUUCCCCUCGAAAAAAGAAAAAAAAAACUUCAG